rnacentral:rRNA from 1 species
UACGAGGGGUGCAAGCGUUGCUCGGAAUUAUUGGGCGUAAAGGGUAGGUAGGUGGUCUCAUUUGUCAGGGGUGAAAGCCUUGGGCUUAACCCAAGAAGUGCCCCUGAAACGGUGAGACUUUUGAGUCCUGGAGAGGGUCGUGGAAUUCCCGGUGUAGCGGUGAAAUGCGUAGAGAUCGGGAGGAACACCAGAGGCGAAGGCGGCGACCUGGACAGGUACUGACACUCAACUACGAAAGCGUGGGGAGCAAACAGG